rnacentral:rRNA from 1 species
AUUGAACGCUGGCGGAAUGCUUUACACAUGCAAGUCGAACGGUAACAGGGUGCUUGCACCGCUGACGAGUGGCGAACGGGUGAGUAAUGCGUCGGAACGUGCCGAGUAGUGGGGGAUAACGCAGCGAAAGUUGUGCUAAUACCGCAUACGUACUGAGGUAGAAGGUGGGGGACCUUCGGGCCUCACGCUAUUCGAGCGGCCGACGUCUGAUUAGCUAGUAGGUGAGGUAAAGGCUCACCUAGGCGACGAUCAGUAGCGGGUCUGAGAGGAUGACCCGCCACACUGGGACUGAGACACGGCCCAGACUCCUACGGGAGGCAGCAGUGGGGAAUUUUGGACAAUGGGCGAAAGCCUGAUCCAGCCAUGCCGCGUGUCUGAAGAAGGCCUUCGGGUUGUAAAGGACUUUUGUCAGGGAGGAAAUCCCUAGUGCUAAUAACACUGGGGGAUGACAGUACCUGAAGAAUAAGCACCGGCUAACUACGUGCCAGCCGCCGCCGUAA